GCGGGGAUAGCUCAGUUGCGAGAGCCUCAGACUGAAGAUGUGAGUUCGAUCCACGCUCACCGCA
rnacentral:tRNA from 1 species